GAUGAACGCUGGCGGCGUGCCUAAUACAUGCAAGUCGAACGCUGAAGGAGGAGCUUGCUCUUCUGGAUGAGUUGCGAACGGGUGAGUAACGCGUAGGUAACCUGCCUGGUAGCGGGGGAUAACUAUUGGAAACGAUAGCUAAUACCGCAUGACAACAGUUAUUGCAUGAUAACUGUUUAAAAGGGGCAACUGCUCCACUACCAGAUGGACCUGCGUUGUAUUAGCUAGUUGGUGAGGUAACGGCUCACCAAGGCGACGAUACGUAGCCGACCUGAGAGGGUGAUCGGCCACACUGGGACUGGGACACGGCCCAGACUCCUACGGGAGGCAGCAGUAGGGAAUCUUCGGCAAUGGACGGAAGGCUGACCGAGCAACGCCGCGUGAGUGAAGAAGGUUGUCGGAUCGUAAAGCUCUGUUGUAAGAGAAGAACGAGUGUGAGAGUGGAAAGUUCACACUGUGACGGUAGCUUACCAGAAAGGGACGGCUAACUACGUG
rnacentral:rRNA from 1 species